GGUUAAGCGACUAAGCGUACACGGUGGAUGCCCUGGCAGUCAGAGGCGAUGAAGGACGUGCUAAUCUGCGAUAAGCGUCGGUAAGGUGAUAUGAACCGUUAUAACCGGCGAUUUCCGAAUGGGGAAACCCAGUGUGUUUCGACACACUAUCAUUAACUGAAUCCAUAGGUUAAUGAGGCGAACCGGGGGAACUGAAACAUCUAAGUACCCCGAGGAAAAGAAAUCAACCGAGAUUCCCCCAGUAGCGGCGAGCGAACGGGGAGCAGCCCAGAGCCUGAAUCAGUAUGUGUGUUAGUGGAAGCGUCUGGAAAGGCGCGCGAUACAGGGUGACAGCCCCGUACACAAAAAUGCACAUAUUGUGAGCUCGAUGAGUAGGGCGGGACACGUGGUAUCCUGUCUGAAUAUGGGGGGACCAUCCUCCAAGGCUAAAUACUCCUGACUGACCGAUAGUGAACCAGUACCGUGAGGGAAAGGCGAAAAGAACCCCGGCGAGGGGAGUGAAAAAGAACCUGAAACCGUGUACGUACAAGCAGUGGGAGCACGCUUAGGCGUGUGACUGCGUACCUUUUGUAUAAUGGGUCAGCGACUUAUAUUCUGUAGCAAGGUUAACCGAAUAGGGGAGCCGAAGGGAAACCGAGUCUUAACUGGGCGUUAAGUUGCAGGGUAUAGACCCGAAACCCGGUGAUCUAGCCAUGGGCAGGUUGAAGGUUGGGUAACACUAACUGGAGGACCGAACCGACUAAUGUUGAAAAAUUAGCGGAUGACUUGUGGCUGGGGGUGAAAGGCCAAUCAAACCGGGAGAUAGCUGGUUCUCCCCGAAAGCUAUUUAGGUAGCGCCUCGUGAAUUCAUCUCCGGGGGUAGAGCACUGUUUCGGCAAGGGGGUCAUCCCGACUUACCAACCCGAUGCAAACUGCGAAUACCGGAGAAUGUUAUCACGGGAGACACACGGCGGGUGCUAACGUCCGUCGUGAAGAGGGAAACAACCCAGACCGCCAGCUAAGGUCCCAAAGUCAUGGUUAAGUGGGAAACGAUGUGGGAAGGCCCAGACAGCCAGGAUGUUGGCUUAGAAGCAGCCAUCAUUUAAAGAAAGCGUAAUAGCUCACUGGUCGAGUCGGCCUGCGCGGAAGAUGUAACGGGGCUAAACCAUGCACCGAAGCUGCGGCAGCGACACUAUGUGUUGUUGGGUAGGGGAGCGUUCUGUAAGCCUGUGAAGGUGUGCUGUGAGGCAUGCUGGAGGUAUCAGAAGUGCGAAUGCUGACAUAAGUAACGAUAAAGCGGGUGAAAAGCCCGCUCGCCGGAAGACCAAGGGUUCCUGUCCAACGUUAAUCGGGGCAGGGUGAGUCGACCCCUAAGGCGAGGCCGAAAGGCGUAGUCGAUGGGAAACAGGUUAAUAUUCCUGUACUUGGUGUUACUGCGAAGGGGGGACGGAGAAGGCUAUGUUGGCCGGGCGACGGUUGUCCCGGUUUAAGCGUGUAGGCUGGUUUUCCAGGCAAAUCCGGAAAAUCAAGGCUGAGGCGUGAUGACGAGGCACUACGGUGCUGAAGCAACAAAUGCCCUGCUUCCAGGAAAAGCCUCUAAGCAUCAGGUAACAUCAAAUCGUACCCCAAACCGACACAGGUGGUCAGGUAGAGAAUACCAAGGCGCUUGAGAGAACUCGGGUGAAGGAACUAGGCAAAAUGGUGCCGUAACUUCGGGAGAAGGCACGCUGAUAUGUAGGUGAAGUCCCUCGCGGAUGGAGCUGAAAUCAGUCGAAGAUACCAGCUGGCUGCAACUGUUUAUUAAAAACACAGCACUGUGCAAACACGAAAGUGGACGUAUACGGUGUGACGCCUGCCCGGUGCCGGAAGGUUAAUUGAUGGGGUUAGCCGCAAGGCGAAGCUCUUGAUCGAAGCCCCGGUAAACGGCGGCCGUAACUAUAACGGUCCUAAGGUAGCGAAAUUCCUUGUCGGGUAAGUUCCGACCUGCACGAAUGGCGUAAUGAUGGCCAGGCUGUCUCCACCCGAGACUCAGUGAAAUUGAACUCGCUGUGAAGAUGCAGUGUACCCGCGGCAAGACGGAAAGACCCCGUGAACCUUUACUAUAGCUUGACACUGAACAUUGAGCCUUGAUGUGUAGGAUAGGUGGGAGGCUUUGAAGUGUGGACGCCAGUCUGCAUGGAGCCGACCUUGAAAUACCACCCUUUAAUGUUUGAUGUUCUAACGUUGACCCGUAAUCCGGGUUGCGGACAGUGUCUGGUGGGUAGUUUGACUGGGGCGGUCUCCUCCUAAAGAGUAACGGAGGAGCACGAAGGUUGGCUAAUCCUGGUCGGACAUCAGGAGGUUAGUGCAAUGGCAUAAGCCAGCUUGACUGCGAGCGUGACGGCGCGAGCAGGUGCGAAAGCAGGUCAUAGUGAUCCGGUGGUUCUGAAUGGAAGGGCCAUCGCUCAACGGAUAAAAGGUACUCCGGGGAUAACAGGCUGAUACCGCCCAAGAGUUCAUAUCGACGGCGGUGUUUGGCACCUCGAUGUCGGCUCAUCACAUCCUGGGGCUGAAGUAGGUCCCAAGGGUAUGGCUGUUCGCCAUUUAAAGUGGUACGCGAGCUGGGUUUAGAACGUCGUGAGACAGUUCGGUCCCUAUCUGCCGUGGGCGCUGGAGAACUGAGGGGGGCUGCUCCUAGUACGAGAGGACCGGAGUGGACGCAUCACUGGUGUUCGGGUUGUCAUGCCAAUGGCACUGCCCGGUAGCUAAAUGCGGAAGAGAUAAGUGCUGAAAGCAUCUAAGCACGAAACUUGCCCCGAGAUGAGUUCUCCCUGACCCUUUAAGGGUCCUGAAGGAACGUUGAAGACGACGACGUUGAUAGGCCGGGUGUGUAAGCGCAGCGAUGCGUUGAGCUAACCGGUACUAAUGAACCGUGAGGCUUAACCUU
rnacentral:rRNA from 1 species